GAAUACUAUAAGGUUGUGCCUGGAGUGGGCAUUUGCUUCAUGACAUAUGAGACGCUGAAAAGCCUACUAGCAGAUGCAAAUUCCAGAUUGUAGUUGAAGAAAAGCUUUUGGUGAAAUGACUUGUGGAUGGAAAUGAGAUUUUGUGGCAAAACAAAUAACAAAGCGAUUUUGUUGGUGGGAAUUCUCAAUAGUUUUGUACUUCAGACAGAUUGUAAGAUAUAACAUUUUUCCAUGUAUAGAUAUCUAAAGGUGUUCUUCAGUGGGUCACAAAAAUAUAAAAUAUGUAGCCAAAAAC
rnacentral:misc_RNA from 1 species